rnacentral:rRNA from 1 species
ACCUACGGGAGGCAGCAGUGGGGAAUAUUGGGCAAUGGGCGCAAGCCUGACCCAGCAACGCCGCGUGAAGGAAGAAGGCUUUCGGGUUGUAAACUUCUUUUAUGAGGGACGAAUAGAUGACGGUACCUCAUGAAUAAGCCACGGCUAACUACGUGCCAGCAGCCGCGGUAAUACGUAGGUGGCAAGCGUUAUCCGGAUUUACUGGGUGUAAAGGGCGUGUAGGCGGGACUGCAAGUCAGAUGUGAAAUUCCAGGGCUCAACCCUGGACCUGCAUUUGAAACUGUGGUUCUUGAGUGAUGGAGAGGCAGGCGGAAUUCCCUGUGUAGCGGUGAAAUGCGUAGAUAUAGGGAGGAACACCAGUGGCGAAGGCGGCCUGCUGGACAUUAACUGACGCUGAGGCGCGAAAGCGUGGGGAGCAAACAGGAUUAGAUACCCUUGUAGUCC